rnacentral:rRNA from 4 species
AAAAUUUCAACAAAGGAUAUCUUGGGUUUGGCACCGAUGAAAAACGCACAGAAAAACGAUAAAUAAUAUGAAAUUCAGAAAUCACUGAAUCAUCGAAUCUUUGAACGCACACUGCGCCCCCUGGUAUUCCGCAGGGCACGCCCGUUCGAGCGUCAGUA